UACGAAGGGGGCUAGCGUUGCUCGGAAUCACUGGGCGUAAAGCGCACGUAGGCGGCUUUCUAAGUCAGGGGUGAAAUCCUGGAGCUCAACUCCAGAACUGCCUUUGAUACUGGGGAGCUCGAGUCCGGAAGAGGUGAGUGGAACUCCGAGUGUAGAGGUGAAAUUCGUAGAUAUUCGGAAGAACACCAGUGGCGAAGGCGGCUCACUGGUCCGGUACUGACGCUGAGGUGCGAAAGCGUGGGGAGCAACAG
rnacentral:rRNA from 1 species